UUGUGUGUGUGACUGAGAGAGAACGUGUGUAUGUGUCCAUAUGUGUGUUGUGGCGGAAGGGCAAUGUGGAGACGGUGUGCAUGUGAUAGAAACAUAGAGAGGUGUGAAUGUGCAAAUGAUCAUGCAUGAGUGAGACAUAGGCAGAUGUCGAUACGUUGUGUAUACAUGAGAGAACGGUCUUCUAUUUGUACUUGUGUGUGUGUGUGAGAGAGAGAGAGGAGCAUCCAUAACACAACAACCAUCUCUCUCGAUUCAUCUGUCCCUCGCAUGAUCGCAUGUAACACAUGCAUCAACGCACACAUUUUGACACCCUCACCCGGCCCCUGCCCACCUCAAGGCCCGCACAUCGCUCUCUAUCUCGCACGCCCAAUCUCUUCAUGAAAACCCUAUUUAGCAUUUAGCUUUCCGUCACAUACACAGACAUUUCUCUCCAUAGGUUUGAUUUCUCUCAAUACCUGACACACACACACACACACACACACACACACACACACACACCGCACACACACUCCCCCUCCCCCGAGCACACAAUUCAUCCCCAUCCAAGGCUAUAUGGCGACCACUCUCGCUUGUGCUUCUCUGCACCCCAGCAUGUACAACACCUCAACCUUCAAAGAGGGCAUCGAGGAGAUCGAAGACGGCGACCACACUGCACUAGAGAAUGCGGGGCCAUUUGGAAGGAGGAUGAUGUGACGACGGGUGACUGACUCCCCUCCCCCCUCUCUCCCGCACAAAAAUACCAAUCCCUCUCUCCCACACAAAAUUAUCAAUCCCUCAGCCCACGAGAUGCUUCCGCUCUCGGCCAUGUUUUUCCAGCUCUCUCAUCAAACCUGUUGUCUCUUCUCCUUCCAUGUCUACAUAAUCCGGAUGCACACACAUCUCACGUAUAUUACAUGUCUCCAUCUAUCUCACAGGCCUAACUUCUUCCUCUCUCUUUCUCUCUCUAUCUCUCGUUAGGUUUGUCUCCUACUCUCUUGUCCACAUACACACAAUCUUUACCGCCCUAUCUGCUCCAUCUUUGCAAGCUCUCUCUACACGUUUCAUUCACACAUUGGGAUGUGUUCAAAAUGUUGCUUUUAUAAUGGAUGAUGUAGAGUUAUGGUUGGUUUUGUUGCAUCCUACAAAGUAAUAACUAUGAAAUGCAUUUAGAUUCUCAUUUGAUUGGGAUUAUGUGAGUUUGAGCAUAUUGUGAUGUACUAUAGACCUCGUAUACAUCUUGGAAUUCAACAAUGAUUGUAACUACUGAAUUGUAUAGACCAUUACAUUCGAAGUCAGUAGCCUAAUAUAUUUAUUUCACAAUUACAACAAAUGAUUAAUUCACUACAAACUAAGAAAACAAAUGUGUACUCCCUCCAUUUUUAUUUAAGUCCGCGUAUUAGCAUUGGUCAAAGUCAACUUUUGUAAACUCUUAGAAUGUUUAUAACAAAAAAAAUUAACAUAUACAAUAACAAAUAAAUACCAUUAGAUUCAUUAUUGAGUGUACUUUCACAUCAUACAUAUUUGUUAUGGUAAAUGUUUAUAUUUUUCUUUAAACUUGGUCAAACUUUAGGAAGUUUGACUUUGGUCAAACCUAAUAUGCAGUUAAUAAAAUCGAAGGGAGUACUAGUAGUUACUAGUACUACUCACUAGUUGCUUAGCCCAAUCACCCAACACACCACACGGGGAGUUCAGUGUCACAAAAUUUUGAGGUUGGCGGGAAAAUCUCCCGCGACCCUGAUUCGAGCAGGGCGAAGUUACCAUCAUAAACUUCGGAACAGGUCUACGGAUUAUAAUUGGUAGGGGCCUGACUUCGUAACUUCAAGUUCACCCUACCCAGCCAACCCCACCCCGGAACCCAGAGUAGUACACCUGAAUACUCCCCAUUUUCUAUCCCCACACCAAAAUAGACUUCUCCACGGCACCAUAGCCUUCGUGCUCCUCCCCUUCUCCAUCGGCGCACUCGUCCACCAUAGCGCAUCUGCCUCAUCGACGACCUCAUAUGCCGCACUGGAGCCGGUCCACCGUCGUUGUCGUACACGGAGCCUCUUCCCCGGCACUGUCUUCCAUGGUCUCGGAUCUGCUUCCCGGAAGCCGACGCCAAACGCAGAAGCACCACCGUCGUGGACAAUGAACUGACUCCCGUUGCCGACCAUGAUUCACAGAGGCCGCCGCGACCAUCAUUCUCCUCCUCGAUUGGUAAUGUGUGUAUUGAAUCACUUAGCAGUACACGUGCAGUUCCAAUUCUGUUCAUACCUACCCUUCAAAUUUCCUGGUUGCUAUUGUUCCCGUAAAAGUAAUUGGUUAUAGCCUCCAUUGUCCAAUAGAAUAUCAGCUUGUAAUUGUGUGUCGCUCCUGUAUCGCGAUGUGCUUGGGUAGGUUCUUCAUCUGCAACAGUAGUGUGGCAAAUGAUGGAAAGUUUUUUAGAACUAGCAAGAUGCCCAUGCAUUGCACUGAACAUCAAGAGGCAUUUGUAUGAGUAGUUUAUCUUGUAGGAGAAAAGGAUGAAUGAGGGAAGGCCUUAUUUGCAAAUCUGCAGAGGGGUGUGGGUAUCUUUCUGCAAAAUUGCCAUAGUGUCCUUCAUAUCCGUCAGAUAUAAAUCGGACAGCCUAUAUUGCAGGAUGGCAGGCACACAAUCAUCACCAACUCUAUUUUUUUAAAGAAAAAAAGUAGAAAAAAAGAGUAGAGAGUAGAGAAGUAGAGAUAAAUAUUAAAUAUAACAGUAUAUAAGAGAGUAGAGAUAAAUAUUAAAUAUUAAAUAAAUAUAACAGUAGAGAAGAGAGUAGAGAUAGCACGGACGUCGGGAAAGGAUCGCGCGCGCGCGGGAAAAAGCUGUCGGGCGCGCUCUAGUUUUGGCAGGCGGCGUCCGGCGCGCUUUAUAAAAUCCAACACCCUCCCACUGCUCUGUGCCUUGCCGCCGCUCUCUCCCCGCUCUGUGCCUCGCCACCGCUCUCUCCCCGCUCUGUGCCUCGCCACCGCUCUCUCCCCGCUCUUUCUCGCCUCGCCGCCGCUGCGCCACCAUGUCGCCGCGUUACCGGGAAACUUGGGGAUACCACGGCAUCCGCGCACGCCCCUCCAGCGGCUUCUCCGCCGAGAUCCGGUUCCGCGGGAUGCGCCUCGGCCUCGGCAAUUUCGACACCGGCAACGAGGCCGCCCGCACGUACGACGCGGCGGCGUGGCACCUCCUAUGGCCUCAUAGAACAUUGAACUUCCCCAACGUGCUGACGCGGGAGCGGGCGCAGGAGCUCGCGCCUCUGCCGCGGCUUACCACCGACAAGGAUCGUCGCGACAACCGGACGCGGGAGCACGUCUCGGCAUCGCCGAGACGGAUGAGGAAGCCAUGGCGCUGUGGCUUCAACGCUUCCCGUAGGAUAUCAUCAACGAGCGCGAGUUCUACGCGCAAAGGAGGGCGGAGAGGGAGAAGAAGAGGGCGGAGCGAGCCGCCUAUCACGAUGACAAGCGUAUGCGAAAAGCUGACGCUCAAUUCAACAUGAGGCUAGGAGCAGCGUCGCCCUGGGAAUCCGACAAAGAUCGGUAACUUCACGCCUACAUUGAGAUGUCGGAGGAGGACAUCACCGAGGAGGAGUCGGACGACGAGGAGUAGCUGAACUAUCUAUUUUUUAGCUAUCUAUGCUAUAUCUAUGCUGAGAACUAUCUAUGUCUCUACUCUCUAGUCUCUACUCUCUAUCUCUACUUCUCAAUCUCAGCACUGUAAACGCUUUUUAAAGUGUUGUGUGUUGCGCUUCUGUUGGAGAUGCUCUAACAUGACAGACGGGUGCUUUAAUGUUGCCCACAAGAUGCAUGAGUAUUACUAGUAUAUUUUUCUUGCCAUGUUGAGAUUUUAAAACCACGAGUGCGAACAUGCAGAGGAGCAAUGAAGACCAAACACGGGAUAUUGGGGACAUCUUCAAGGAGCGUGGCAAGUUAAAGAGGAGCUGCACCGAACCUGUAAAACGACCUUUGGUAAGUAACACCCUUUUAAUUACUUUCGUUUAGCCUCGUGUUCUUCGAUGUGUAUAUGUUGUAGUUUCUGUUUCUCUUAGCCUCGUGUUCUUUGAUGUGUAAUAAGAAGAGUCUUAAUCUUCCUAGUGCUUUCGUGUUUAGCUUAAUGUAGGAAGUGGGUGUUCUCACCUUGUAGUCUAUUUUUAUAUUUUUCCUUUUGGAUUCACUUCUCCGAGUCCUGUUUAUCUGGCUUCUACUAAAUGGGUCUGGUUUGCUUUGAGUAUUGAUCUAAAAAAGAAGUAACUUCAUGUCAGGAUGUAGUUCAUGCGAGGAGGGAAGUAUGGUCAACCUCGAGAUCAAGUUUCCAAAAUGAGGCUGGAUUACACACAAGGUACCAGUUCCCUAAUGAUGCUGGAUUAGACACAAGGUGCAAAUUCCCAGAUGAUGCUGGAUUACAGACAAGCCAGGUGGAGUCGUCAACUGUUCGUGUCCUCGUGGCUCUAGUAAAGGCUGAAAGAAAGCGUGCAGCAGCCCUUGAGAAUGUAGCUGAUUUCCUGAAGAAGCGAAAAGAGCAAUCAGAUGCUCUCUUCACCCAAGCCAAAGGAGAGAUGGAAGAAGCCAGAAAGAAGCUAGCAGAGGCAGAGCAGGCUAGGUGUCUCCUGCUAUCUAAAACUGUUGUCAAUACAAAUUUUCCUUCAUAAUAGCUAGGUUCAAAUGUUUAUCCAGUUAGCAUGCCUGUUGUGAUGUUCGUGCAUCUACUAAUGUGGCACAAAAUAAUAUUUUUUUCGGGUCAUGUAAUAACAGCAAUUACUUUCCAAACAAUAACAGACGAAGCAUUGGACAUGGUAUAGUUCACGAGCAAGCCCAACAUUCCAAGUUCAACUUCCACAUCAAACUCAUGUUCACAGAUAUCUGCACAUUCAUAGAUAAUGUCCACAACCAUGAUUCACUUGAAAGCCAAAAAAAUGUGAGGAGAGUUAUAAAUAAAGAAAAACCUCUAGUUCCAACUACCAAUGCGAGCACAACAAGUCAAGACCAUGCGUAAUUAAUUAUAUUUUGGUCAUUUUUUGACUAAUCGUGAAUAACUUCUGGAAGCAGGUACAAUUUGUAAUGCCGGUCGUGGCUGGGGUCCACGAUGUUUUGAGCCAAACCGGGCAACACACCGGGUGUCUAUGUAGGCGACGCGGUGGUCGUAGCAUUCGUGGGUUCAGAGCGGCGGCGGCUCCCAUGGUCUACUAUUCCUCGGUGUCGGUGAUGGCUGCAAACGUGUUGGCCACCUCUGCCAGCAUGCCGCGGUUCCGCCAACGUUUGCGUCGGAUGGCGCGGCCAACCACGGUGCACUGGACGUCGUGGUCCCCCGUGUGCCGGCGUGCAGCAACUGGCCACUCCUCUGCGAGCACGCUUAGAGCGUCGAGUUGAUGCACCAGGGGCUAGCUUGGAGCGGCGGCUUGCUCCUCCACUUGCCCACCUGCAGCCUCGCCCAUCGUACUGACGGCCUGGGUCAGGGAGGGAGGUGGGGCAGCGAGUUUCCUGGCUUGUCGGGGCACCUAGCCGGCUUUUAUGCCGGAGAACUCGUCUUCCUGCUCACCGGAUGCUAUGGGGAGUGUGGAGAAAAUGGUGUAAGGAGGGGGAGCAGCGGUGUGGUGCGGUUCUUGCCAGGCGUCUGGCCUCGUUUAAAUAGUGAGCGGACGAGAGGAGCCAGCCGCCUACGUUGUGUUCUAAAAUGCGAGCUGGCUCGCGGAAGGACGUGUUGCCGGCACACGCGCGGAUUCAAUGGAGGCAGGCGGGGCAGUCUAAAGCCGGUUGCAUGUGGCGAGGAGGCGUGUUCAGCCUGGCCUGCAGCGAGUGGGGCCCUCUUGGCUUGCGCGCCGAUUCAAUGCCUGCGCUAUGAGAGGUUGUGUCCGUGUCAGAGCAAUCACUCCCUCCAGUCCUUUUUUGUUUGGGUAUAACAAAAUCUCGUUUUCCAUUCACAUUUUACAAGUAAAAUUCGUGGACAAACUUUGACCCAAAAUACGAUGGGGACUAGUAAACCAGGACGGAGGUAGUAGUUUUUUUAUCAAAGAAGGGUUUCCCCCAUCCGAUUUUCAUUACUGAAAACCAACAUAUAAACCAUAGUAUUUGCCCUAGAACUACCAGGUUCAACAUCUCGCAACAUAAACCCAUACAACCAUACGCCAAGGAGGUAGUAGUUAUGAAUUCCAUUUUCGCUCCAUACCAAUCGUUCUAAAAACUACUUAAGUACUUAUAACGCGCCCUUGAAAAUCGGGACUCUUAUCCCGCUAAAAAAUGAUAUUUUAAACGUGGCUACUCGAUCUGUGGCAACUAGCGAGCCACCGCCUCUAGGCCGUUCACCUGUGGUCCCGACCAUCAACUCCUAUGGAUCAAAUUAUCAUGCGAGCUGACUAUUUAUACAAAGGUGCGCUCCACCACGUACCCGGCACCCCCGCAUGUAGCAAUCGUGCACCUAGGGUUUUAGGGUUUAUUUGUUAACGGUGCCUUUACGUAACUCUCAUGCGUACGAGACAGCGAGAGACCGACUGCGUGCGUGCGCCUCUUCUCUUCAUAUAUCUACUCCACCAUUUGUCUGGUGUCCAAAAAAUUAUACAAUAGUAAUAACUACUAGCAAUGUGCCAAUGCAUUGCCACACGAUCAAAGUACAUUAAUACAUAUUCACUGAUUUGAUAGAAAAAAGAGUCUAGUUUUGAAAUACGUGUAUCACUAAAAAUAUCUUAUGUUUCACUCAAAAUAUAUUCCUUUGGCGGUUUUGAUGAGAUAAGGGAGGAAUGUUGUUGGUUUCAAGAUUCAAGAAGUGGUAUAUCUCUAAUUUCUAUUCUUACUAGCAAGAUGCCCACGCGUUGCACGAAACAUCAAGAUCUUGUGGGAGAAAAGGAUGGACGAGGGAAGGCCUUAUCUGCAAAUGUGGAGAGGAGUGCGGGUAAAUUGCCAUAGUUUCCUUCCUAUCCGUUAGAUAUAUACCAGACGGCCUAUAUUACAGGAUGGCAGGCACACCAUCAUCACCGACUAUGCUUUUUAUAAGAGUUCGAGAUAAAAAACAGAGUUGGUGAUGAUGGUGUGCCUGCCAUCCUGCUAUAUAGGCCGUCCGAUUUAUAUCUGACGGAUAGGAAGGAAACUAUGGCAAUUUUGCAAAAAGAUACCCACACCCCUCUCCACAUUUGCAAAUAAGGCCUUCCCUCGUUCAUCCUUUUCUUCCACAAGAUAAACUACUCAUACAAAUGCAUCUUGAUGUUCCGUGCAACGCAUGGGCAUCAUGCUAGUUGUUGCAAAAAGCCCAUGUGUGUGUGUGUUGUGUGUGAGAGAGGGAGAGAGGAGGAGGAUGGAGUGCAUGUGUGACAAAGACACGAAGAGUGUGUGUGCGAGAGGUAUCAGCUUAAAAUGAGGCGAUAGUGUGUGUGUACACGAUCGAGAGGGCGUGUCUCAAGAAGGGACGAAAAAUCUACAUAGAUACAAGGAGCGCGAGAGAGACAUGUACGCGAUAGUGGAAGCACGAGUGUGCGGGUGUAUAAACCUAUCUGGAGGUUAGUCGAUCAAUGAUGUCAGAGAAAUACGAGUCGGGGGUGCGAAAGCGAAAGUUUUGUGUGUGUAAGAGAGAGACGAUAGUCGGGAAGGGGAGUGGAAACAGGAGUUGUGUGUGUGUGUGAGAGAG
rnacentral:lncRNA from 1 species